GGUUAAAAAGCUCGUAGUUGGAUCUCGGCAAGUAGAGGGCGGUAUGCUUCGUAGCAUUACUGCCCUAUUACUUGUAGUUUUGCCAGAGGUUCCUGGGUGCUCUUAAUCGAGUGUCUAGGGAUGCUGGCAGGUUUACUUUGAAAAAAUUAGAGUGCUCAAAGCAGGCUAUUACGCUUGAAUAUUCGUGCAUGGAAUAAUAGAAUAGGAAGUUGUUUCUAUUUUGUUGGUUUUCGGAAAUCGACUUAAUGAUUAAUAGGGACAGUCGGGGGCAUUUGUAUUCAAACGACAGAGGUGAAAUUCUUGGACCGUUUGAAGACAAACUACUGCGAAAGCAUUUGCCAAGAAUGUUUUCAUUAAUCAAGAACGAAAGUUAGAGGUUCGAAGGCGAUUAGAUACCGCCCUAGUUCUAACCAUAAACGAUGCCAGCUAGCGAUCUGAGGACGUUUUUUUUGUAGACUCCUCAGGAAGCUUCCGGGAAACCAAAGCGUGUGGGUUCCGGGGGAAGUAUGGUUGCAAAGCUGAAACUUAAAGGAAUUGACGGAAGGGCACCACCAGGAGUGGAGCCUGCGGCUUAAUUUGACUCAACACGGGAAAUCUCACCAGGCCCGGACACUGGAAGGAUUGACAGAUUGAGAGCUCUUUCUCGAUUCGGUGGGUGGUGGUGCAUG
rnacentral:rRNA from 1 species